UACGUAGGGACCGAGCGUUGUCCGGAAUCAUUGGGCGUAAAGCGCGUGUAGGCGGCCAACUAAGUCGGGCGUGAAAUCCCACGGCUCAACCGUGGAAGUGCACUCGAAACUGGAUGGCUAGAGUCCUGGAGAGGAAGGUGGAAUGCUUGGUGUAGAGGUGAAAUUCGUAGAUAUCAAGCGGAACACCGGUGGCGAAGGCGGCCUUCUGGACAGUGACUGACGCUGAGACGCGAAAGCGUGGGGAGCAAACAGG
rnacentral:rRNA from 1 species